rnacentral:rRNA from 1 species
UACAGAGGCCUCGAGCGUUAGGCGGAAUCACUGGGCUUAAAGCGUGUGUAGGCGGACUUCUAAGUACCUUGUGAAAUCCCACGGCUUACCCGUGGAACGGCUGGGUAUACUGGGAGUCUUGAGCCACCUAGGGGCGAGUGGAACAAAUGGUGGAGCGGUGAAAUGCGUAGAUAUCAUUUGGAACGCCAACGGUGAAAACAGCUGGCUGGGGGUGUGCUGACGCUGAGACACGAAAGCCAGGGGAGCGAACGGG